GAGGGAGUUGCCGCUGUUCAGGGCUGUGCAAUCGGGGCCGGAGCCAUCGAGCGCCCGCUGCGGCCGGCCCGGGCCUUGGCGCUCUGGGACGGGAGCCGGGCGUGGGCGGGCGCCGCUAGCAGGAAUCCCUGAGCUUGAUGACUCGACAGCAAUAGAAAAGAAUGCAUUCCUCUGACUUCUGUGGGACCGUAGUUCUUCAAAUAUAGAGAAUGAAUUGUCAGGCUGCUAAAGAUCUUUCUGGAGCCAGAAAAAAAAACGUUGUUCUGCAGACUUUGUAUUUUUCUUCAAAGGAUCAAUUCUUGAGAGAAACUCUAUAACUGCAAUUCCUGUAUGGUCAGUGAAAGUGGUGUUACUCAGCACUUUUUAGGAUUUGGCCCACAGCAGGAGGAGAAAUAAAAACAGAUUUCUCAAGCAGACAAAUCAUAAAAAAAUUGUAUUAGUUAUUCAUAGCCGGACAAUCUUAUUUAAAUGUCCCUAAAAAGAAAACAACUCAUGACUCAUAUUCUGUUAAUUAUUAAUAAAUAAAUAUCUAGUUUGGGAUCUAGCUAAUAUUUCUAGGCCAUUUAUGUGAGUAGAUAUGUUCAAUUGUGAGAAUCCCAAUUGUCAGGAAUUCAACAUUCUUAAGUAUUUCAUAAUUAUUAACUGUAUAUUAUGUUAGUGUGAAAAAUACUACUACUCUCUUAUCAAAACUAUGAGCUUUGUACCUAAAGAAUGUGAUUCUCAUUGUAUAGUUUGAGCUUGUAAAGUAUACGUCGUUAUGUUCUAUUAAAAAUAAAGUUAAGCAUAGAAUAUUUGUAAAUAAUCACAAUUUAAGAUUGCACGAGCUGGCAUGCACACUAAGCAUGAGGUUUUACAUCUUUUCCAGAAUAAUUUAUCUUUUUAAAAUUGAAUUCUGGAUAAUUACUGAAAACCAUAUAAUUGUCUAAUUUCACUCUAAAACCUUUUAAAUUACCGACUUCAAAAACUAUGAUGCAGCAGCAAAGGAGAAACUCGACUCAGGUUGAAUCAGUUUUCAAUUUGCCACAUUGUAACGUUCUGUUCUCACUGCCUUAGAACACAGAUUUUCCCAUUGUAUCUCCUUAAUGCUGUCCGUUAAGUAAUGUUUAUCAUAGUACUGCAUAGGGGGUCAGCUGGAACUGAGACUCCAAAUGUGCUAACACUGUGAAUAUAAGAAAUAAAAACUAGUCUCUGUUUCAGAUCCAGUAGAUAAAAAAGUGAAAGGAAAUAAUGCAGGCAGGGAAAACAAUGAGACUGCGGUAUACAUUGUACAAUUUCUGUUUUGUCUGCAUUUUAGUAUUCUAGUCCUUUUCCUGAGGCCCUAUUAGGAAAGAAUUGAAUAGACAACAAAACAAAGGUAACAAGGACAUAGAACAAGUUAUAGCAAGCAGCUCAUCAAAACACAUCUGAGGACAUUCUGAGUACAAACUUCCACAAAGCAAUACAGUGGUACUGCCUUUACUUUAGUUUGUCGAUGCGUCUCACUAUUUCUUCACACAAUGCCUGUGUAGGUUAUGUUCAGUCCUAGUACUGCCUAGAAGUCCUACCUCUACACAUGAGGAGAGAGGCCUUUGUUAUUUAGCAGCCACCAACUGAGGGGCUAAAAAUUCAGUGAAUUUUUGCUUUCAGUAUCUUUGUGAGCUAGAUAGCAUUUAAUACAUGGAAAACAGAAAGACAAUAACUAAGUGUCUGACCCAAGAAAUCAGGUAAAAAAAUAAUUACGUCUACAGCAUUCCUCCAGGCUCUCUUAGUGGUGCCCAGAGACAGGACAAAGGGUAAUGGGCACAAACUGGAACACAAGAAGUUCCAUGUGAAUAUGAGAAAAAAACCUUCUUAACUUUGAGGGUGACAGAGCACUGGAACACGCUGCCCAGAGAGGUUGUGGAGUCUUCUUGUCAGGAGAUAUUCAAAACCCACCUGCGUGCUUUCCUGUGCAACCUACUCUAGGGAGCCUGCUUUAGCAAGGAGAUAAGACUACAUGAUCUUCACAGGACUCUUCCAACCCCGAUGAUUCUGUGAUUCUUUCUUUUUAAUCCAUAAUCUUUGCUUUCUCAAGUGUACUUUACUACAACUAAUGUAUGUAAUACUUUUGUAAUUAUUUUGAAGUAACAAACGUAUGCAUUACCCUACUACUAAAAUUCUGGCAAAAAAAAAAAAACAUCCAAAUGAGACAUUAUAAAUGGAUCAAUCUCAAUUAUUUUAA